UUGACCUCGGAUCAGGUAGGGAUACCCGCUGAACUUAAGCAUAUCAAUAAGCGGAGGAAAAGAAACCAACAGGGAUUGCCCCAGUAACGGCGAGUGAAGCGGCAAGAGCUCAAAUUUGAAAGCUGGCUCCUUCGGGGUCCGCAUUGUAAUUUGCAGAGGAUGCUUCGGGAGCGGUCCCCAUCUAAGUGCCCUGGAACGGGACGUCAUAGAGGGUGAGAAUCCCGUAUGGGAUGGGGUGUCCGCGCCCGUGUGAAGCUCCUUCGACGAGUCGAGUUGUUUGGGAAUGCAGCUCUAAAUGGGUGGUAAAUUUCAUCUAAAGCUAAAUAUUGGCCGGAGACCGAUAGCGCACAAGUAGAGUGAUCGAAAGAUGAAAAGCACUUUGAAAAGAGAGUUAAAAAGCACGUGAAAUUGUUGAAAGGGAAGCGCUUGCGACCAGACUCGCUCGCGGGGUUCAGCCGGCAUUCGUGCCGGUGUAUUUCCCCGCGGGCGGGCCAGCGUCGGUUUGGGCGGUCGGUCAAAGGCCCUCGGAAGGUAACGCCCCUAGGGGCGUCUUAUAGCCGAGGGUGCAAUGCGACCUGCCUAGACCGAGGAACGCGCUUCGGCUCGGACGCUGGCAUAAUGGUCGUAAGCGA
rnacentral:rRNA from 1 species